UACAGAGGUGGCAAGCGUUGUUCGGAAUUACUGGGCGUAAAGGGCGCGUAGGCGGUCCUGUCAGUCCCUUGUGAAAUCCCCCGGCUCAACUGGGGAACUGCAAGGGAUACAGCAGGGCUUGAGUUCGGGAGAGGGAAGCGGAAUUCCGGGUGUAGCGGUGAAAUGCGUAGAUAUCCGGAGGAACACCGGUGGCGAAGGCGGCUUCCUGGACCGAUACUGACGCUGAGGCGCGAAAGCUAGGGGAGCAAACGGG
rnacentral:rRNA from 2 species